rnacentral:rRNA from 1 species
GAUGAACGCUGGCGGCGUGCUUAACACAUGCAAGUCGAACGGAAAGGCUCCUGCUUGCAGGGGUACUCGAGUGGCGAACGGGUGAGUAACACGUGGGUGAUCUGCCCUGCACUUCGGGAUAAGCCUGGGAAACUGGGUCUAAUACCGGAUAGGACGAUGGUUUGGAUGCCAUUGUGGAAAGUUUUUCGGUGUGGGAUGAGCUCGCGGCCUAUCAGCUUGUUGGUGGGGUAAUGGCCUACCAAGGCGUCGACGGGUAGCCGGCCUGAGAGGGUGUACGGCCACAUUGGGACUGAGAUACGGCCCAGACUCCUACGGGAGGCAGCAGUGGGGAAUAUUGCACAAUGGGCGCAAGCCUGAUGCAGCGACGCCGCGUGGGGGAUGACGGCCUUCGGGUUGUAAACUCCUUGCGCUAGGGACGAAGCGCAAGUGACGGUACCUGGAGAAGAAGCACCGGCUAACUACGUG